CCUCCCACCACGCGCAUCACGCGCAUCACGCGCUGUGCGUCAACCCCAAAGCGUCAAAAACUGAAGCGUGGUCAAGCGCCACUGACGUGAGAUGUUUAUCGCUUUGAAAUCACGUUCAAGAAGUCUCAUUCAGCACACAUCGCGAUACUUUCCAUCAGUUUACAAGAGCCGCAGGUUGGGUGAGUUAUACAGUCUAUGCUGAAAAGGCGUAAAGGAAGCAGUCACCCCAGUGGUGCUUGUGGAGAGGUAUUCCUUCAGAAAUUGAGAAGACAGAAAGCUGCAGAGGCAGGAUUGUUUGCAGAUAAUGCUGUUCUUCUUUUUCAGAAGUUUUUGGGGAGCCAACCCACACAACCUUCCUAAAAACUAAAAGAGUCUCAGCGAAUCUUGCCACGAUCAGCUCUUCCCAGAAGAGAAGGAAGACCAAGGAAAUGAUUUGCUCAGGAUGAGGAAUGAAGAUGGUCAUCUUGUGCUCAAGCAAACAGAAGUCCUCUGAUGGUCUCAUCAGCCAAAUGAGGGGUUUUGACCAAGUGAUGCUCUUGAAAGGACUGAAAGAAGAGGAUGUGGUAAAUUGUCUUCAGAGAAAAAGCUUCUCAAAAGAUCUUAAAACGGCUUGAAGAAUGGUCUGGGAUCUUAGGACUGGGAGAUCUCACUGGCACCCAGUUAACCUCCAUAGAGAACAUUUAUCAGAAGCGCUGUCUGGGUUGGGCAAGAAACAUCAUCAAGGAUGCCUCUCACCCUAACCAUGGACUUUUCACCCUCCUUCCAUCCGGCAGGCGUUACAGGAGCCUACGCUCUCGAACUAGUAGACUCAGGAAGAGCUUCUUCCCCGAGGCUGUGACACUCCUGAACACCGCACCACCAAUCUAACCUGCACCUGCUCUUUUACUGCACUGGUCACAGUACUUUACAUUCAUGUAUUGCACUACUCAUAUUUUGCACAGACUGCACAUGGUUAAAUCUAUUACACUAUAAACUGUCUAAAGCUGUUACUGUACAAGCACAGUAAACUAUUUCUACAAAAAAUAUCAUUGCACUACUGUUAUUUUGCAUAUAAUAAAUUGUUAAACUAUACUUUUGCACACUCAUUCAACUGUAUUUAUAACCACUGUUCUCAAGUUCCUGCUACUCAUAAUGUAUAUAUAAUCCUUCUUUGCUCUGUUCAUAAUGUACAUACAAUCCCUACAUUACAUUCAUAUUUAUAUUCUGUAUAUACUCUGAUCAAAAUUGUAUAUAGCAACUCCACUGUACAUUCUGUAUAUCAUAAGCUUUACUUACUCUGCACUUUUAUGUAUAUAAAACACUAUAUUCUUGCACUUCUGGUUAGAUGCUAACUGCAUUUCAUUAGCUCUGUACUUGUACUCUGCAUAAUGACAAUAAAGUUGAAUCUAAUCUAAUCUAAUCUUCUGGCUGAGAACAAGCUACACCACAUCAGUGCUGGACAUCAACCACAAACUGUUUCCAGACACGACAGAAAAUCACGAUGGGGAGAUGAAACCAGUUUAGAUGUGUUGAUAAGGAAUCAUUAUUUUCUGAAACAGUAUCAUGUCUUAUAAGUAUCACAUGAUCUGUAUCACAGUUGACUGGAUGGGACUGUGACUUUUAAGGACAUUUCAUCAC